rnacentral:rRNA from 1 species
AUACGUAGGGUGCAAGCGUUAAUCGGAAUUACUGGGCGUAAAGCGUGCGCAGGCGGUUUUGUAAGACAGUGGUGAAAUCCCCGGGCUCAACCUGGGAACUGCCAUUGUGACUGCAAGGCUGGAGUGCGGCCGAGGGGGGUGGAAUUCCGCGUGUAGCAGUGAAAUGCGUAGAUAUGCGGAGGAACACCGAUGGCGAAGGCAAUCCCCUGGGCCUGCACUGACGCUCAUGCACGAAAGCGUGGGGAGCAAACAGGAUUAGAUACCCUGGUAGUCCACGCCCUAAACGAUGUCAACUGGUUGUUGGGGAUUUAUUUUCUCAGUAACGAAGCUAACGCGUGAAGUUGACCGCCUGGGGAGUACGGCCGCAAGGUUAAAACUCAAAUGAAUUGACGGGG